rnacentral:misc_RNA from 1 species
UUGUCAUAAUAUUUCUUGUUGACAUAUUUCUUGCUUCAACUUCAGUCAUCUCACAAACAUCAAAAAUUCUCAAUAUUCUAAAUCACCAGUGAAAAUAAUGGAAACGGAAUCACACGAAGAAUACUCACUGGCAUGGAAAGGCCAUAUUAACUACCUAAGAGACUCUUUAAUUCGUUUACUUCACACAAAUGAAUUGUGCGACGUAACAUUAUACACAGAAGGAGGUAAAAUUGGGGCUCACAAAGUUCUACUAGCAGCCUGCAGCGAAUACUUCAGCGACUUAUUUAAAGAAAUAAAAACAGAACGUCCCAUUAUAGUUUUAAAAGGAGUAGAAUAUGAAAUUUUACUAGAGAUUUUAAAGUUUAUAUACCAUGGCGAGGUCAGUAUUGAGCUGCCCAAGUUAAGUGCCUUUCUUGAUGCUGCCCAGUUUCUACGUGUGUCCGGACUGACUAAGGAUAAAGUUGUUAAAUCAAAAAUUGUUAAGGAAAUUAAUAUUAAUGAAUCAGAUCAAGCCUGCAAUACAGAACAUUCUAGUGAAACACAAGUUUCUGCUAGUCCAAGUUAUAUUGUGAGCAUAGAAGAAAAUGAAAAUAUAGCAGACAGACCUCCUGAAGAACCAAUGUCCUUUAGUUCAAUCCACCAAAGUAUACUUGCCAAAGCCUGUACUGUAGAACUUCCUCACUUGAGCAAAUUGUAUAAAAUUCACAGAACCUCUAAACCAGAACAAAGUCAUUUUCCCAGUAUUGACCAUCAAAAAUAUUCUAAGGAAUCUCCUCCAAGAACAAAUGAAUGGACUUCAGAUUAUGACAAUAUUAGACAAGGAAGCACAGAAAAAUCCUCUAGUGAAAUGAGCUCAACAAGCAACAGAAAAAAAAGAUUCAAAUCUGAAAGAAAAACUAGCCUUAGUGAUAUUAGUGAAAUUGAUCAAGAGGAGUGUGAGUUAAUUCGUAUGAAAAAUGACCAAUCAAUGCAAAAAGCCAUGCUGAAAAGUAAGUUGCAGUCCCUCAUAUCUAUCUCCAGCACAGUUUUAAAAUCUGUCUGCAGCUAACAGAUUUUUUAAAUACAAAUUUAAAAAAAUAGGAUAAUUAUAUUGCUCAUAAUGGUUUAAGUUAUAUUGAAAAAUCCAUGGAUAAGAAUGUCAUCAAGGGCCUAGCAAAGCAGGGAAACAGUACCAACUGCAACAUAUGCAAUGAUAUCUAUUUUCAAAUGAAUAAUCUCAAAACAUUUUUCUCAAGUUGUAAAAUUUAUGGUAUUACUGUAUCUUGAAGAAGACAUAAUUAUAAAGGUAGUUUAUAAAGUACAAUAAUAAAAGCCCCAAUUACUAAAGUAA